AUGAACGAGGGUGAACAGAGUGGCCGGGGACUCAAAGGGGGGACCCCUUCAGUCCUCCGCCAUUCACUUUCCCCUGUAGCCACACACCCCCCUUUAUAUUCCGCUUCACGUGGGGUGCGGGGCAGGAGGGAGGAGAGCCCGAGAGGGGGAGGGGAAGUCAAGGGAGGAAAAGCGAGAAAUGCCCACCUUCUUUGGCCAACUCCGGAGCCACCUCAGCCCCCUCCUCCCGCCGCGGCGGCGGCCGCUGCAAAAAGCCCUCCCGGCUCGCCCUGCACGAAAGGCAGCGCGGAGCGAGUGUCGCCUGGCCCUCGCCACCCCCCGGCGCCGCGGCCGCCGGCGAGCCCCGAGCUCAGUGUCGCUCAAACCUCCCCUGCCGGCCCCGCCGGCCCCGCUCCGCCCUCCCCCCGCGCCCCGCGGACCCUUUCAAACCCCCUGGGCUCGCGGCGGUUGCUCCGGGAGGAAACUCUGGCCGCGGCUGGGGCCGGGGCGGUGCGGCUGCGAGCGGGGCGGCGGCGGCGGCGGCGGCGGCGGUGGGGCGCCCGGUACGGUGAGCCCAGCAACGAGGCGCGGGCGGGCGCGCAGAGACGCCGAGUCCUCGCGGAGCACGGCCGGGGCGCGGCGGCGGCGACGGCGGCGGUGGUGGUGGUGGUGGUGGCAGCGGGAGCCCAGGGACCGCUCCAUCACUGGCAGCCAUGGAGCCCGAGCAUUUUCCUCCCUCGGGGCAGGCGCUCGGCUCGGCACUCGUCCUCGGGGAGGAAGGGGCCGGCGCCCGAGCUCGUCGGAGGGCGGCGGGACGUGCGCGGGAGCGGAGGGUGCGAGCCUCGGGUCCUCUUCCUCGGCAGCCGGCUCGUCCUCACCCCGCUGAUUUCGCGGCCGGGCGGGAGGGGGGCUGCGGGCGGCGGCGGCUCCUUUCUCGGCGGCGUUGGUGGCCAGACGGGCUGGUGCAGCGACUGCAGCCGACGCCGUUCAAAGGAACGAGAGGUCAGAGCCAAAAGCCAGAUAAGAAGCCAAAGGGACAAUUUCACUGAAAAGCUCCUGCCCUUGCCAAAUGCUGCCUUUCCAUAGGAAGACUUCCCUUGACCACUCUGUCUUGAGGGAGUUGGCAUUUGCCAGCAGCUGGUAG
ensembl:lncRNA